rnacentral:rRNA from 1 species
GACGAACGCUGGCGGCGUGCUUAACACAUGCAAGUCGAACGGAAAGGCCCUGCUUUUGUGGGGUGCUCGAGUGGCGAACGGGUGAGUAACACGUGAGUAACCUGCCCUUGACUUUGGGAUAACUUCAGGAAACUGGGGCUAAUACCGGAUAGGAGCUCCUGCUGCAUGGUGGGGGUUGGAAAGUUUCGGCGGUUGGGGAUGGACUCGCGGCUUAUCAGCUUGUUGGUGGGGUAGUGGCUUACCAAGGCUUUGACGGGUAGCCGGCCUGAGAGGGUGACCGGCCACAUUGGAACUGAGAUACGGCCCAGACGCCUACGGGAGGCAGCAGUGGGGAAUAUUGCACAAUGGGCGGAAGCCUGAUGCAGCAACGCCGCGUGCGGGAUGACGGCCUUCGGGUUGUAAACCGCUUUCGCCUGUGACGAAGCGUGAGUGACGGUAAUGGGUAAAGAAGCACCGGCUAACUACGU